rnacentral:rRNA from 1 species
UACGGAGGGUGCGAGCGUUGUCCGGAAUCACUGGGCGUAAAGGGCGCGUAGGUGGCCCGUUAAGUGGCUGGUGAAAUCCCGCGGCUCAACUGCGGGGCUGCCGGUCAGACUGGCGAGCUAGAGCACGGUAGGGGCAGAUGGAAUUCCCGGUGUAGCGGUGGAAUGCGUAGAUAUCGGGAAGAAUACCAGUGGCGAAGGCGUUCUGCUGGGCCGUUGCUGACACUGAGGCGCGACAGCGUGGGGAGCAAACAGG